AGCUCGGGCGCCGCCGGAGGACUAUCCCACGGUCCAAGCGCCUCGAGGGUUGGGGGGGGCCUUGGCGCGGAAGGGAGGCUCCUUGCCCGCCCCGCGCUGUGCGUCUCUCCUUCGCCGCGCCCUCACCCUGGCCUCGCCCCCCGCGCUGUCCCGAUCGGAGUCCUGGAGCCUCUGAUGGAGCCGAGGUUUUGAUGUCCACUGGAACCUCGGGGUGGCGGUAGGGAAGGUGGCCCACCUGGUGGUUCCGCCUCGCGGGCGGCCGGGCCUGCUCCUUCCUAACACUGGGACCUGGGCCUGUUGGCCACAUCCCUCCCAACCAGGUCCGGUCCUGCUGACCAGAGGCCGGUGGAGCCCCAGAGGAGAGGGGUCAUGACUCCAGAGGCGGGGAAGGCCUGGCCUGGGGGCUGCGCCUUGGAGCGGGGCCAGGCCUCGGGUUUUGGUAAGGCCGUCUGCAGGAGGGGGUCCUGCUGAAGAGCGCGCAGCCCGCAGGCUUAGGCCCCUUUCCUCAGACCUAGCGGCACCCCAUAGUUGCCGGAUGACCGACCCCGGGCCAGACGGGGCUCCUGGAGGGGCGUGAAUGGAGCAGCCACGGGCACCCCUGCAGGCCUGCAGCACGUGGAGACACAGGAGCUGGGAGGACACCCCUGGGCCACAGGAGCAGCCCCCACCAAGAUGAAACAAGCAGAAACAGGCGAUUCGCAAACACACUGUAGCCUCAGGCUGGAGCAGUGUGGGAUUCCCAGCAUCCGGGACUGCUGAGUUGGCCUGAUGGGAGGAAGUGGGCAGUGGCUGGCCAGGUGGACAGGAAGAGAAUGGGGGAGAGCAGACAGCCUGGGUCAAGGGCCUGAGGAAGGAGCUCUUGGCAGCCCAGUGAAACCCCAGGGCAUGGGUGGUGGGUGGGGACGACAGGUCAGAUCACAGAAGGCCUAAGGCACAAGCAAAGGGGUCCCACUACAUACUGAACCCCUUACGGACGACAGAAGCUUUAGCCGGGGACUGCAAGGACCAGCAUAGACUGUGCAGCCUGAAGAUGUGAACAUUCCGUCCCCUGCCCCCAAACCUCCUGCCACCCGGCGCUCGAAACUCAUGGUGGACAGAUGAGUUCACCAGUGGCAGUCGGACAGAUGAGGCCAGAUGGCUCAGUGGCAGUGGGAGGCUGGAUCCCACUGACCAGGCCCUCCCUCAACCCCAGGGCCCUCCCAGGCCAAACAGGAACAAGGCGCCUACUGGGCUCGGCCAGCCCCUUGCUCUGGGCGAGGUGCAGGUCAGAAGUAGCCAUCACAAUCCCCAAAAGGUGGAAGACUCCCAAAGGCCUGUCUGCAGCUGAGUGGACAAGCAAGUGCAGUGGGUCCAUUUUUUUUUUUUUUUUUGAGACGGAAUCUCGUUCUGUCGCCCAGGCUGGAGUGCAGUGGCUCGAUCUCGGCUCACUGCAACCUCUGCCUCCUGGGUUCAUGCCAUUCUCCUGCCUCAGCCUCCCGAGCAGCUGAGACUACAGGCGCCCGCCACCACACCCGGCUAAAUUUUUGUAUUUUUUCUUUUUUUAGUAGAGAGGGUGUUUCACCGUGUUAGCCAGGAUGGUCUCGAUCUCCUGACCUCGUGAUCUGCCCGCCUUGGCCUCCCAAAGUGCUGGGAUUACAGAUGUGAGCCACCGCGCCCGGCCUCUUUUUUUUUUUUUUUUUUUUUUUUUUUUUUGAGAUGGAGUUUCGCUCUUUGCCCAGUCUGGAGUGCAAUGGCGCGAUCUUGGCUCACUGCAACCUCCACCUCCUGGGUUCAAGCGAUUCUCCUGCGUCAGCCUCCCGAGCAGCUGGGAUUACAGGCAUGUGCCAUCAUGCCGGCUAAUUUUGUAUUUUUAGUAGAGACGAGGUUUCUCCAUGCUGGUCAGGCUGGUCUUGAACUCCCGACCUCAGGUGAUCCGCCCACCUCAGCCUCCCAAAGUGUUGGGAUUACAGGCAUGAGCCACGGCACCCCCUGGCGGUGGGUCCAUUAUUAAGCCAUAAAAAGGAAUGAAGUUCUGGUCCCUUGACACCCGCUACAGCCUGGAUGAGCCUGGAGGCUUAUGCGCUGAGCAAAAUAAGCCAGAGACAAAAGGACAAACACUGUUGGAUUCCACUUCUGUGAGUCACCUUAGAGUAGUCACGGUCAUGAGGACAGAAAGUGGAGCAGGGGCUGGGGAGGGGAAUGAGGGAUUGGAGCUUAAUGGGGACAGAAUUCAGGAGCUUGAUUACACAACACAAAUGUACUCAACAGUACGGAACUGCACACUUUAAAAUGGGU
rnacentral:lncRNA from 10 species